UAGGGAAUCUUCUGCAAUGGACGAAAGUCUGACCGAGCAACGCCGCGUGAGUGAAGAAGGUUUUCGGAUCGUAAAACUCUGUUGUUAGAGAAGAACAAGGACGUUAGUAACUGAACGUCCCCUGACGGUAUCUAACCAGAAAGCCACGGCUAACUACGUGCCAGCAGCCGCGGUAAUACGUAGGUGGCAAGCGUUGUCCGGAUUUAUUGGGCGUAAAGCGAGCGCAGGCGGUUUCUUAAGUCUGAUGUGAAAGCCCCCGGCUCAACCGGGGAGGGUCAUUGGAAACUGGGAGACGUGAGUGAAGAAGAGGAGAGUGGAAUUCCAUGUGUAGCGGUGAAAUGCGUAGAUAUAAGGAGGAACACCAGUGGCGAAGGCGGCUCUCUGGUCUGUAACUGACGCUGAGGAUCGAAAGCGUGGGGAGCAAACAGG
rnacentral:rRNA from 1 species